UGCAGUUCUUGUUGCUGCCGCUCAAAGUUGCAUAAUGUCACUUUGAAAGUGUCGCAGGGCAAAGGACAUGCGAGCACCCACAGGACAUGCAGACAUCUUAAAGCUGCGAUAAGCCGGCAACGAUUUUUAUGAAAUUCCUAAGACGGCAGUCUCCAUUCGCUGUUUGCUUACAUCGCACCCUGUUCCUUUUUACUUUUGGCUCUUAGUCAACAUCCUUUUUUAAUGUGACUGUGUAUGCCCGAAGGAUUUGUGCGUAAUGAAAAACUGUCACGAAGGGCGAAGGAUGAGCCUAAGCCAUUUCGCAGGUAUGUGUGGAGAAAUUGAAAAGCGCUAGUCGAGAUCCGGGGGAGCAUUAAACUGGCAAAUUUGUGACCAGGACUCGGGCCAGGACAUUUAUGGCCGACAGACGGCGACGACAGCGACAUAAAAACGGCGACGCCUGCGUGAUAAGCGCAUAAAUCAGUCGAAGGACGAAGAAAUCCCUUACCCCAAAGCCUCGGACUCAACCCAAGACGUAACUCCCCAUGUAGAAGAUACUUUUUAAUUUCAGUUUAUAUCUCGCUGCAAUGUGGAGUUACUCGGGUAAUUCGCUUCCCAGUUAAUUUUGUUUUCAUUUAGCCUAAGACUCCUGAAAGUUCACAGAAAAUUAACUUUCUUGCUUACAAACUAAAGUCUCACAAUUAAUUACCACAAUUUUCUAAGACUGAUAAAUUAAUUUACUCUUAUCAACUUUUUGGAUGUUAAGACUUGCAAUUAAUUAACAAAGUUUUGAUUUAACUGAUUGUUUGAAUUCACCUUAUCAUCGUCACUCUAAACGUUAUCUCAUUCUCUUAUCACAUUCAAAGAACAAUAAAUCAUUCAAGCUACACAAAUAAUAGAUAAAGCUACAACUAUAAGAAAAUUUAAUUAUUAUUCAACGUCAAGGGUUUGCUGGACACAUGCCAAAAUGUUAUAAACAAUAUAUCACACCUGCUGAUUUCCUGUAGUGACAAACCUACAAGCCUCUUCACCAGCAGCAGCAAUCACUUUUCCAACGAAUCAUAUGCGCAAUGAUCAAAACGCGAGCUGAAUCCCUUAUACCCAAAGGACAACGGCGAAGGACAUUCUGGUAAGCUCAUUGCUUAUGCUCGAACACGAAGCAAAUUCAAAUUACAAAUUAUGUUUUCGUCAUUGACCCAAGUUUUACGAGAGUAGCCCCUCCCUUGGAACACCCCACAGCAUCCGAUGGUCAAUGUCCGCGCGGUGUCAACUAUUUAGUUUCCGGUUUUAACUUGCGCCAUAAACCGGGCGUUAUGUGUCCGCUUUUAUGGCUUCUAGCGACGUCCCGUCUUCAUUGUUUCUUAAUAAUCCGACGAGCGUCUUCGGAGUGCACACGUCCUCGCAUUAAGGAUGUUUAUGGGCCAGACACUGUUUCCACCGGGAGCUGGUGAUUCUGGGGGUGGUGACCCCGACUUCUACCCGGCUAGUUGCAUGCCGCACAUACUUACGCUGCGCUGCAGUCAUAAAUGCGCUUAAUUGGCAAUUUUUGUGUGAGCGUGUUGAAAUUUUUACACCCCACCCGACUCGACCGAAAGUUGCAGUCAUAAAUAGGAAAUAUGUUCCUGGAGUGCCGGCAAGUCCGUUGGCCAAGUGGGGGUAUUGGUUUUUAUGGGUCAUGCAUGAAUUUGCCGGGAUUUAUAUGCGGACUACAUGACCUGGAUUCUUAUGGCGCACAACCAGUGCCAUUCCUUUGGCUAAUCAAAAGAUAUUUCGGGAGCCGAAUGAAAUGAAUAUGGCUCGACCACAAAUGAACAUUAUCUUUUUAAUACACGAAACGAUUUACUUUAUUAUUCAUAAACAUUAUAGCUCUGCAAUAAUAUUUCCCCACAAACGGUGAGAAUAUAAAAAUUACCUGUAUUGCUCACAAAUAAUUUGGAAUAAUUUUGUUAAUUUCUAAAAGCUUGUUACAUGACCGGCAAAAUAUAUUGAUGUGUUGUCUAUGAUAUAAAAAGCAAAUGGAUGAGUAGCCAAAAAAUAUUUCACCCCAUUAAAGGUGUGUGUCAAACUACCAUUGCCUGAAAUAAAAAAAAAAUAAUAGAACAGUGUCUUUCAGGAUUUUUAGAUAAUUAAAUUUACCAACAUCUGUACUUGGCGUACCAAUGCCCUGCUCCUGAAACUCAAAGGUGACUACAUGAAUAACUCCGUCAAUCCGAAAGUUGGUAUUCCUGUGAAGCAACGUUGAAAAUGACUUGCUGGGCUUAAAUAUAUCCUUGAUGCCCAUCUUUUCAAAAGCUGGAGAGAGUUCUAGAUCACUGUGUAUCUUAAAUUUCGGUAUACCCACAAACACAUCCAUCAUAGUGAGGUUCCUGGCAACGCUUAAGAUAUUCAUGGCCUGCAGCUUCAUUUGCAAGGCAGCAAGUCCAUCAGGCUGAUCGGGCUUUAUCAAGAGCAUUCGGAGAUCUCCAUGGGAAAAAGGCACCAGGACGGCGGUGGCUUUAAGAUUCCCUAGGAUGCCAAAUGCAAACUUACUAUCCUCGUGCAUCAUGGGUAUCAUAACGCUCUUUGUGGCAUUUACUCGAAACUCCCGGGGAUAUGUGGCCUCCGGAUUGAAUGUCCGCUCCCAACUCAAAUUGAAGAAAAUGGCAUUUACGAGAAGUCCUUGGCUGUUCGGUUUCCACCAGCUUUCUUUUACCACCUGCCCAAUUUGCUCGCCCAUUUCAUGGCUGUAAAAUGUAUUAACCUCGUCUAGCUGUUCACGAGCAAAGGCGAUAUUACGAGCUCUUCCCUCUGUAUGCCGCAUAAAAACUCUAUAUUCCGUGGACAUUUUCAUAUUCUGACGUACAUAGAAUCGGGUAAGACUCUUGGCCACAGGUGCCUUCUUCACACUCAUGGCAAAGAUUUUCUGUGUUUUCGGCUUGUAUUCAGAUAGAUGGGUUCCUCGAUAGUGCAUAGCCUUUCGAAUUUGCUCGGAUUCAUCUUCCUCCACGCCCACAUAGAUGAACAGCAUGCUGGAUCGUAUCAUCUCCGUCGAGAACAUAAUGUUCCUGUUCGAAAAGCUGUUCACGAUGGCUGCGUAAAGUUCAUCUGGCAAUUGUGAAUUUUUCUGAGCCCUGUAGCGUGAGAUUCCUAAAAGGAUUAGCAGUAGCACGUACAUUAUUUAUAAUAUUACUUAAUACUACUGUUAAUUUGUUAAGCUAAGAUGCCCACAAUUUCAAGCGUGUAAUUGAAAACUCUUUGCGUAAAAAUUGCAAUUCUAGAGGUGAUACAUGAGCCAAUUACUGAUGGUAAUAUCGAUAUAUUGAAUUAAUUUUUACAUACUUUAUAAACACCACAUUAACUUGCAGUAUUGUGAAAAUUAGAACAAUAUAAAUUACUCCUUGUAGGCCAAAGUUCAGAUUGAUCACGCUUCUAGUGGCGUGCAAGUCAAGUGGCCAAUAAAUCUCCAAUAUCAACCAAUAUCUGAGGAAUGCAUUGUCUUGAUGUUUACUUAUGUCGAACUAAUUAUAAUUAGCCACCAGUCAAUAGGUCUGCGCCGAGCUAAGAUAACACGCCUUAAUCGCGAU
ensembl:ncRNA asRNA:CR45272 antisense RNA:CR45272